GAUGAACGCUGGCGGCGUGCCUAAUACAUGCAAGUCGAGCGAACGGACGAGAAGCUUGCUUCUCUGAUGUUAGCGGCGGACGGGUGAGUAACACGUGGAUAACCUACCUAUAAGACUGGGAUAACUUCGGGAAACCGGAGCUAAUACCGGAUGAUAUUUUGAACCGCAUGGUUCAAAAGUGAAAGACGGUCUUGCUGUCACUUAUAGAUGGAUCCGCGCUGCAUUAGCUAGUUGGUAAGGUAACGGCUUACCAAGGCAACGAUGCAUAGCCGACCUGAGAGGGUGAUCGGCCACACUGGAACUGAGACACGGUCCAGACUCCUACGGGAGGCAGCAGUAGGGAAUCUUCCGCAAUGGGCGAAAGCCUGACGGAGCAACGCCGCGUGAGUGAUGAAGGUCUUCGGAUCGUAAAACUCUGUUAUUAGGGAAGAACAUAUGUGUAAGUAACUGUGCACAUCUUGACGGUACCUAAUCAGAAAGCCACGGCUAACUACGUGCCAGCAGCCGCGGUAAUACGUAGGUGGCAAGCGUUAUCCGGAAUUAUUGGGCGUAAAGCGCGCGUAGGCGGUUUUUUAAGUCUGAUGUGAAAGCCCACGGCUCAACCGUGGAGGGUCAUUGGAAACUGGAAAACUUGAGUGCAGAAGAGGAAAGUGGAAUUCCAUGUGUAGCGGUGAAAUGCGCAGAGAUAUGGAGGAACACCAGUGGCGAAGGCGACUUUCUGGUCUGUAACUGACGCUGAUGUGCGAAAGCGUGGGGAUCAAACAGGAUUAGAUACCCUGGUAGUCCACGCCGUAAACGAUGAGUGCUAAGUGUUAGGGGGUUUCCGCCCCUUAGUGCUGCAGCUAACGCAUUAAGCACUCCGCCUGGGGAGUACGACCGCAAGGUUGAAACUCAAAGGAAUUGACGGGGACCCGCACAAGCGGUGGAGCAUGUGGUUUAAUUCGAAGCAACGCGAAGAACCUUACCAAAUCUUGACAUCCUUUGACAACUCUAGAGAUAGAGCCUUCCCCUUCGGGGGACAAAGUGACAGGUGGUGCAUGGUUGUCGUCAGCUCGUGUCGUGAGAUGUUGGGUUAAGUCCCGCAACGAGCGCAACCCUUAAGCUUAGUUGCCAUCAUUAAGUUGGGCACUCUAAGUUGACUGCCGGUGACAAACCGGAGGAGGGUGGGGAUGACGUCAAAUCAUCAUGCCCCUUAUGAUUUGGGCUACACACGUGCUACAAUGGACAAUACAAAGGGCAGCGAAACCGCGAGGUCAAGCAAAUCCCAUAAAGUUGUUCUCAGUUCGGAUUGUAGUCUGCAACUCGACUACAUGAAGCUGGAAUCGCUAGUAAUCGUAGAUCAGCAUGCUACGGUGAAUACGUUCCCGGGUCU
rnacentral:rRNA from 1 species